rnacentral:lncRNA from 1 species
UUCUGCCACCUUGAGGUCAUAAUAAUAAUAUUGCAACUACAUUUCGGUUGAGACGUAUUAACUGUGCGCACAGUAGAGACUUUGAAGACGGUGUGCUUUUAGCACGGAAGACGGAGGGCUUUUGGAAAUAUUGAAAUGCCAUGUUUCUAUGCGUUUUGAGGUUUCUACCAUCGGAGCUGAAGACUGACACGUUAAAAAUGUGAUCUGACGGUAACCAGGCGACCGCUUUCUGCAUCAAUACCCAUAUUUCCGUACUAAUACCAACUAUCUCUCUCAAUGUUCGGGACGACUCGUGCUGAAAUCUCCUAACAUGAAGCAUCGCAUGGUAGAUUGAAUUGGUCGUAGAAUGGAGGUUCCUGCCGUAAACCACAGCUAUACACAUCCACAGCCAUGGGCCGGACAGAGUCCCAGGACCCCAACCAUACCUCCACCCAGCUGUCCAUUUCCUUCAUAUCACUAUCCAAACCUGAACCCAGAUCAGCAGAGUGUGACCCCCAUGACCCAAACGACAGGAACCGCAGCAGGCCAUCGGCCUCAGUCACUGCAAAGCUACCAAGGAGUGUUCAAGCCUGUUCCUGAGAUUACAAAUAAGACGAAUCAAGGAAUGCCACAGAGAAGCUACUCAUUACCAACGAGUCCAGUGUCAAAUUCUAAGACAGAGUCUCGAUACGGCCUGGAUCCUCAGCUUCUGCCCAGUGUGGUAAAUGAGCCGGCCCUCUUAUUCUGUAAUGUUUCCAUCAAGACAGCUCAGGUUUGAUUGCACUGUUGUGCAUGGCUGUGUUAUUUUGUCUCAGUGUCUAAAUGUCUCUUAAAUGUUCAGGUCCAGGUGAUUAAAGAGGACAGGAUCCAGUGGGAGGGGAAAGUGUUUGUUUCAGAAUGCAAAUCUUCAGUUCCCCUUCUUCCUGGGCAGAGUUCUACAGGAAAUGUCACUUUUCAACCCUGAGUCGGAUGGAUCCGGCUCACAAGAGCUUUCUGUUUCUGCAGGGCUGAAGAUUCUUCAGGCAAGAGCCUUAAUAUGAGUCUUAAACAUGCACAUGCCCUUGGAUAGUGCUACUA